rnacentral:lncRNA from 1 species
GAAACAAUAUGAGUAGCCGAAAAUUGGGAUUUCUCUCCAGAAGUUGCUUGAAGAACGCCGAAAUGCAAUGAUUUCGAGAGAAAAUGGGGUUUUUGAUUUCGUCAAAGUGAAAAGCUCCAAAAUUCCUCAAUUCUGCCUUUUAUAGAGCGUCCCAGCUGAUCUACACUGUUGAAUUCAAAUGCAAUCAAUCUAGGCCGUCCGUCGCAUCGUCAAUCUAGGCCAUUGAAAUGAAACACCGGAUUUCAUAUACACCUAAGAUCUACCUGUAACCUUCACGCUUUUACGAAACGCGUUGCCUCGAUCACCAUCAGCCGUCUGCAAUAAGUAGCCGCAGCAGCCUUUUCUGGGAAUGGGCAUCGUGCCCAACUAUCGCCUUGGAAAAACGGGACAGCUGUCUAAUCAUUUAAAGUCAAAGAUGCCCGUCUCAGAUCAAGCUCUUCACACAGCUUUACAAAGUUUAGACGCAUCUGAUGUAGAGCCCUCCUGUGGGUCAUCACCUCGGAAACUGUGUUCUCUCCUAAACUUUACAAAGCUUUAACCAUCUCCCAACACGUUGUCCCCUAUGGGUCAACGCACUGGUGGCAGAUGAGCUCUUUACAUAGCUUUACAAAGCUUAGACGCAUCUGAUGUGGAGCCCCUCUUGUGGAUCAUCGUUUCGAAAGCUGUGUUCCCUCCUAAGCUUUAGCCAUCUCCCCACGCAUCGUCCCCUGUGGGUUAACGCAUCGAUGGCAGAUGAGCUCUUCACACAGCUUUACAAAACUUAGACGCAUCUGACUUGGAGCCCCCCUGUGGGUCAUCACCUCAAAAGUUGCGUUUCCUCCUAAGCUUUACAAAGCGUUAGCCAUUUCCCAACGCGUCGUCCCCUAUGGGUCAACGCGCCGGUGGCAGAUGAGCUCUUCACACAGCUUUACAAAGCUUAGACACAUCUGAUGCGGAG